AGUUUUGCACAGUGGCAGUGUCGUAGCCAAUGAGAUUUAUCCAAGGUGCAACUGUUGCUAAUUGAAAAAUUUCCCUAUAACACCAGCCAUCAAGUGUCAUGGACAGUGAGGGCUUUGGGAGUUUGGAGGCCGGAGAGCUGC